rnacentral:rRNA from 1 species
AUGGCCGAAUGCUUCAAUAGGGUGCUCAAAGGUGCACGUGGAUUACCCGUGACGGCAAUAGUUCAAUACACAUUUGACAAGAUGAAUGCGUACUUUGUAAAGUACUCGAUGGAAACCGAUGCACAGAUAGCGGGUGAGAACCCACGGAAGUACAAGUACAAGUUCCCACCCAAAGUUGAUGAAUGGUUGCUAUUUCAAUCACGGAAGGCGGACUCAAAAGAAGCUAUAUUAUAUGACAAUGAAGAGUGGAAGUACGAAGUGAAAGAGCCAGGAACCACAAAUGAUGGCCGGCAACAUGGAGGUCGGGCUUUCAAGGUGUCGUUAACACAAUGUGAUUGCUCUUGCGGGAGGCCAUUGUUGCUUCAUCUCCCAUGCUCACAUUUGUAUGCCGCCGGCCGCGUUAGGAAUGUGGACAUCAAUCACCCACGCACCGUGAGGGAGUCGGAGUUCUCAAUCAUGACGGUCAAGAAAACAUGGGCUCCCCGCAAGAGAGGAGGAUGCAGCCAAGCUAAAGAAGAAGAAGGAAGAGGAGCUUGA